rnacentral:rRNA from 1 species
UACGGAGGGUGCAAGCGUUAUCCGGAUUCACUGGGUUUAAAGGGUGCGUAGGUGGAGUGGUAAGUCAGUGGUGAAAUCUCCAAGCUUAACUUGGAAACUGCCGUUGAUACUAUCAUUCUUGAAUAUCGUGGAGGUAAGCGGAAUAUGUCAUGUAGCGGUGAAAUGCUUAGAUAUGACAUAGAACACCGAUUGCGAAGGCAGCUAACGAAACUAUAACUGACACUGAGGCUCGAAAGUGCGGGGAUCAAACAGG